rnacentral:rRNA from 1 species
AUUGAACGCUGGCGGCAGGCCUAACACAUGCAAGUCGAGCGGUAACAGGACUAGCUUGCUAGUUGCUGACAAGCGGCGGACGGGUGCGUAACACGUAGGAAUCUACCCAGUAGCGGGGGAUAGCCCGGAGAAAUCCGGAUUAAUACCGCAUACGCCCUACGGGGGAAAGCAGGGGAUCUUCGGACCUUGCACUAUUGGAUGAGCCUGCGUCGGAUUAGCUUGUUGGUGAGGUAAAGGCUCACCAAGGCGACGAUCCGUAGCUGGUCUGAGAGGAUGAUCAGCCACACUGGGACUGAGACACGGCCCAGACUCCUACGGGAGGCAGCAGUGGGGAAUAUUGCACAAUGGGCGAAAGCCUGAUGCAGCCAUGCCGCGUGUGUGAAGAAGGCUCUAGGGUUGUAAAGCACUUUCAGCGAGGAGGAAAGGUUGAUGAUUAAUACUCAUUAGCUGUGACGUUACUCGCAGAAGAAGCACCGGCUAACUCCGUGCCAGCGGCCGCGGUAAUACGGAGGGUGCAAGCGUUAAUCGGAAUUACUGGGCGUAAAGCGUGCGUAGGCGGCUUGCUAAGUUGGAUGUGAAAGCCCCGGGCUCAACCUGGGA